rnacentral:rRNA from 1 species
UACAGAGGUCUCAAGCGUUGCUCGGAAUCACUGGGCGUAAAGGGCGCGUAGGCGGGAUGGCAAGUCGGUCGUGAAAUCCUUCGGCUCAACCGAAGAACGUCGGCCGAUACUGCCGUUCUUGAGGGAUGCAGAGGAGAUUGGAAUUCCCGGUGUAGCGGUGAAAUGUGUAGAGAUCGGGAGGAACACCGGUGGCGAAGGCGGGUCUCUGGGCAUCUCCUGACGCUGAGGCGCGAAAGCGUGGGGAGCAAACAGG